UCCUUCUCCAACUCCUUCCUUCAUCAAAUGCCCUAGCCUCCACCAAAGAAAGCAAACUCUAGCAGCCUCCACCAAUUGUUGUCGCCGUCUGUCGGAGUGAGAGACUGCUGCCGCCGUCCGUUGCACUCAAGAACUACCGUCUUCGUGGUCUCGGGCCUCUCGCCGGAUCCUCCGCUUCGUGUGCUCGCAUCUCCCCUCUCUCCUCUGUGCUCGGCUGCUCGCGCCUCCCUCCGCCAGUGAGUGCUCGAGCUGUGCGCGUUGUCCGUGGUUGUCUCUGCUCGAUUCUGCCUCCCAGUGUCACUCGAGUCUCGUCUCGGUCACUGGCAUCUCGUGGUUCGUCUGUCUCGUCGCCGGCGGCAGAAGCAACUCGUGGGGUUGUCUCUUGCUUCGUCGCCUUUUGUGGGGUGGUUGCCGACUCGCCUUCAACCGUUGGUUCAGUGUUGGCUUCAAGUUUCAAAUGGGAAUUGGGAGCUGGUGGAGAUAAUAACAUCUUUUGGAACUGAGUCUGAUCUAGAAUUAUGCUAGUACACAGUGAUGUUUGUUCCAUUUGGCUGGACUCAGUGAGACAACUG